GGACGAACAUCAGAGCCCGCAGCUCUCGGCCCUGCUGGUGGCAGAGGCUUUGUACCGUGUGACAAUGACCUGGAUAUGGAAGCAGAAGGGAGCUUCUAAGGACCGGAAGCUGACAGUCUGUCUCCUGUCCUGGCCCAGACACUGGGGUUCAGGAACCAGAGCCUCAGUGUCUGCAGGAGUUGCUGGCUGUUUCCUGAUGCAGUUGGAGCAGAAUGGGAUGUCCUGGGACAACAGAGAUGUUUACCCAUCUUGACUAGUGUGGUCAUCUGAAGAAUGGCCUCCAAAGACAUCCUGAGAACCUGGGAAUGUUGCAUGGAUGAAGGAAUUUGCAAAUGUGAUUAAGUUAAGGAGCUUGAAAUUUGUGAAUCAUGCUGGGUUACUCCAGUGAGCUCUAAAUGUAAUCACAUGUGUCUUUAUGAAAGGGGGGCAGAGGGAGAUUUGCAGACAGAUGAGGAAGAAGAUGAGAAAACAAUGGACACAAGAAAGAAAAGGUGAUGCAGUUCAGGGACCCAAGCCAAUAAAUGAGGUGGCUUCCAGAUGCUGGAGAAGGGAAGGAAGCAGAUGGACUCUAGAGCCCCCAAAAGAAGCAGGGCUCUGCCAUCACCUUGAUUUUGUCCCAGUGAAACCCAUUGGUCAUUUAGCUGCCAGAACUGUGUAAGCAUAAAUGUGUGUUCAUUUAAGCCAUGAAAUUUGCAGUAAUUUGUUAAAGCUGCCAUGGGAAACUAACACAACUGGAGUGGUAGUUCCAUGAAUGCAUGCAUUCACCAAACCUUAACAUGUACCCUUCGGAUACUGGCAUGAUAGGUCCAUGAAUGCAUAUGUUCACCCACACACUAAUAUAUACC
rnacentral:lncRNA from 1 species